rnacentral:rRNA from 1 species
UGCAUGUCUAAGUAUAAGCAAUUAUACAGCGAAACUGCGAAUGGCUCAUUAUAUAAGUUAUCGUUUAUUUGAUAGUACCUUACUACUUGGAUAACCGUGGUAAUUCUAGAGCUAAUACAUGCUAAAAAUCCCGACUCCGGAAGGGAUGUAUUUAUUAGAUUAAAAACCAAUGCCCUCUGGGCUCCUUGGUGAUUCAUAAUAACUUUUCGAAUCGCAUGGCCUUGCGCCGGCGAUGGUUCAUUCAAAUUUCUUCCCUAUCAACUUUCGAUGUUUGGGUAUUGGCCAAACAUGGUCGCAACGGGUAACGGAGGGUUAGGGCUCGACCCCGGAGAAGGAGCCUGAGAAACGGCUACUACAUCCAAGGAAGGCAGCAGGCGCGCAAAUUACCCAAUCCCGAUUCGGGGAGGUAGUGACAAUAAAUACUGAUACAGGGCUCUUUUGGGUCUUGUAAUUGGAAUGAGUACAAUUUAAAUCCCUUAACGAGGAACAAUUGGAGGGCAAGUCUGGUGCCAGCAGCCGCGGUAAUUCCAGCUCCAAUAGCGUAUAUUAAAGUUGUUGUGGUUAAAAAGCUCGUAGUUGAACCUUGGGCCUGGCUGGCCGGUCCGCCUCACCGCGUGCACUGGUCCGGCCGGGCCUUUCCCUCUGUGGAACCCCAUGCCCUUCACUGGGUGUGGCGGGGAAACAGGACUUUUACUUUGAAAAAAUUAGAGUGCUCCAGGCAGGCCUAUGCUCGAAUACAUUAGCAUGGAAUAAUGAAAUAGGACGUGUGGUUCUAUUUUGUUGGUUUCUAGGACCGCCGUAAUGAUUAAUAGGGACAGUCGGGGGCAUCAGUAUUCAAUUGUCAGAGGUGAAAUUCUUGGAUUUAUUGAAGACUAACUACUGCGAAAGCAUUUGCCAAGGAUGUUUUCAUUAAUCAGGAACGAAAGUUAGGGGAUCGAAGACGAUCAGAUACCGUCGUAGUCUUAACCAUAAACUAUGCCGACUAGGGAUCGGACGAUGUUAUUUUUUGACGCGUUCGGCACCUUACGAGAAAUCAAAGUGCUUGGGCUCCAGGGGGA